UAGGCAUAGUAGGCCCCUACUGACCCACAUCUAUGAACAACCGUCCAUGUUAUGAGCUUGUUUAGUUUAUUUCUAAUUGUAUUUUUCUUUCGACUUUUCUGAUACGUUUGAUUAAAAAACAAGUGAAAAAGAAGAAAAGAAAAACAAACCGGAAUAUUAAUAGUGUGGCAAUUGAAUUUCUAUAUUCUUAAUCUUAUGUUAUUAUUAAUCUUAUUAUAUUUUAGUCUUUUUCAUUCAAUACGGCAUCCAAUGAAACUCAUUUUGAAUGCAGUAGAUUCUCUGUGUGCGUGUGUGUAUUUAUUACGUGCUUUAUCUUUGUAACCAAACCUUGAUUAAACCUUGAUUAGCUUUGGAAAACUUU